rnacentral:lncRNA from 10 species
AGCUUCCGCCUGCUACGGUCCUGGCAAGCACCUCGGGAUCCCAUUCCUUCACAGGGACCCUAGCCAGGAGUCUCUGCAUUAGUUGGACAGCUCUUCUGGAAUUAUCUUCUAAGUCAACUGUGGGUUGGGUAGGUGGCUCUGCUGAUUUUUCGCUGGACUUCCACAUUUGGGACGAGUUGGCUGUCAUCAGCUCUAGAAAGGGUGUGGCCGUUUUACAUUGGCUGUUUUCCUCACAUUCCUCAAGCAGGUACUGUAAUAAAGAACUGGAGAAAUACAGUCAGAUGGGAAGUAGCCCUUGCUGUCAAGGAGCUUGCCAUCUAAUGGGGGAGACAGGCAAGUAAACCAAAGACUACACAGUGCAGUAUGGUAAGUGCCAUGAUUUUGAUGUGACAGGGCACAGUGGACGACCUUCCAAAUCAAAGCAAGUAACUAGGGGUUGACAAUGGUAAGUAUCAUAGUUGAAGUAUCCUUGAACAAGGUUUCAGGAAGAAGAAGAAGGGAAUUUCAUGCAGGGAAACAGCCAAAGCUCAGUGAGUCAAAAUAUCACAGCAUUCUUGGUAAGCCCAAUUGUUUUUUCUGUUUU